AGAACGAACGCUGGCGGCAGGCUUAACACAUGCAAGUCGAGCGCCCCGCAAGGGGAGCGGCAGACGGGUGAGUAACGCGUGGGAAUCUACCCAAUCCUUCGGAAUAGCUCCGGGAAACUGGAAUUAAUACCGAGUACGCCCUACGGGGGAAAGAUUUAUCGGGGUUGGAUGAGCCCGCGUUGGAUUAGCUAGUUGGUGGGGUAAUGGCCUACCAAGGCGACGAUCCAUAGCUGGUCUGAGAGGAUGAUCAGCCACACUGGGACUGAGACACGGCCCAGACUCCUACGGGAGGCAGCAGUGGGGAAUAUUGGACAAUGGGCGCAAGCCUGAUCCAGCCAUGCCGCGUGAGUGAUGAAGGCCCUAGGGUUGUAAAGCUCUUUCAGUGGGAAGAUAAUGACGGUACCCACAGAAGAAGCCCCGGCUAACUCGUGCCAGCAGCCGC
rnacentral:rRNA from 1 species